AGGAAAGUAGUUCAGUUUGGUAGAACAUUGGUUUCCAAAACCAAAAGUCAUAGGUUCAAAUCCUAUCUUUCUUG
rnacentral:tRNA from 1 species